CUUAGCUCAGUUGGAUAGAGCAACGGCCUUCUAAGCCGUGGGUCGCAGGUUCGAAUCCUGCAGG
rnacentral:tRNA from 7 species